UACGGGGGGGGGCAAGCGUUGUUCGGAAUUACUGGGCGUAAAGGGCUCGUAGGUGGCCAACUAAGUCAGACGUGAAAUCCCUCGGCUUAACCGGGGAACUGCGUCUGAUACUGGAUGGCUUGAGUUUGGGAGAGGGACGCGGAAUUCCAGGUGUAGCGGUGAAAUGCGUAGAUAUCUGGAGGAACACCGGUGGUGUAGACGGCUUACUGGACCACGACUGACACUGAGGCACGAAAGCGUGGGUAGCAAACAGG
rnacentral:rRNA from 1 species